AUCCCUAGAACAUUCAAAAGGAUUUUAGAACCACCUAAAGAUCCUAAGAGAUCGCUGGAACCACCUCAAGUAACCCUGAAACCUCCCAAAGGAACUCUAGAGGAUCACUAAAACCACCCAAAGAACCCCUAGAACCACAUAAAGGUAUCUAGAACCUCUAAAACAACCAUUUGAACCACCUAUAAAACAUUUUAUAGCAUCACAAAGAACCCUAAAACACACGUGGAACACUUAGGAGACCCAUUGACCCCUUUAGAAAAGGCCUGGACCACCCAGCAGAACACUAAAAUCUAAUAUGAGCCCAUUUUACUGACUUAAAAGAACUUAGAACAAACUUAGAACCGUAGAACCAAGUGAAAAGCCCGAAAGGAACUCUUGACCUUCCAUUAGGACCACUUGAACCAACUAAAGGAACAUCAGAGAACCCUUAAGGAAAGCUAGAACCAACUAAAGGAACAUCCAGAGCACCCUUAAGGAAAGCUAGAACCAACUUAAGGAACCUUAGAGAACCCUUAAGGAAAGCUAGAACCAACUAAAGGAACCUUAGAACCUCCUCGUUGACCAUUAGAACAGUUUUCUGUCAUUUUUCGCCCGUCUGUCGUUUUAUUCGUCGUAUAAAAUAUAUUUUUAAACACUUCCUGCUGUUUUUAAAUACUUCAUGAACUACUGAUGAUGAUGAUGAUGAUGAUGAAGAUGAUGAAGAUGAAGAUGAUGAUGAUGAUGAUGAAUUGUGAUUUUUACAUGUUUACAAACUUUUUGUACUUUUUAAUAUUUGUCCCAAUAAAAAAAAGUUUAAAUGUGA